rnacentral:rRNA from 1 species
GAUGAACGCUGGCGGCGUGCCUAAUACAUGCAAGUCGAGCGAACAGACGAGGAGCUUGCUCCUCUGACGUUAGCGGCGGACGGGUGAGUAACACGUGUAUAACCUACCUAUAAGACUGGGAUAACUUCGGGAAACCGGAGCUAAUACCGGAUAAUAUAUUGAACCGCAUGGUUCAAUAGUGAAAGACGGUUUUGCUGUCACUUAUAGAUGGAUCCGCGCCGCAUUAGCUAGUUGGUAAGGUAACGGCUUACCAAGGCAACGAUGCGUAGCCGACCUGAGAGGGGGAUCGGCCACCCUGGAACUGAGCCACGGUCCAGACUCCUACGGGAGGCAGCAGUAGGGAAUCUUACGCAAUGGGCGAAAGCUUGACGGAGCAACGCCGCGUGAGUGAUGAAGGUCUUCGGAUCGUAAAACUCUGUUAUUAGGGAAGAACAAAUGUGUAAGUAAAUAUGCACGUCUUGACGGUACCUAAUCAGAAAGCAACGGCUAACUACGUG